GAGUUUGAUCGUGGCUCAGAGCGAACGCUGGCGGCAGGCCUAACACAUGCAAGUCGAACGAACUCUUCGGAGUUAGUGGCGGACGGGUGAGUAACACGUGGGAACGUGCCUUUUGGUUCGGAAUAACUCAGGGAAACUUGUGCUAAUACCGAAUGUGCCCUUCGGGGAAAGAUUUAUCGCCAUUAGAGCGGCCCGCGUCUGAUUAGCUAGUUGGUGAGGUAAAGGCUCACCAAGGCGACGAUCAGUAGCUGGUCUGAGAGGAUGAUCAGCCACAUUGGGACUGAGACACGGCCCAAACUCCUACGGGAGGCAGCAGUGGGGAAUCUUGCGCAAUGGGCGAAAGCCUGACGCAGCCAUGCCGCGUGAAUGAUGAAGGUCUUAGGAUUGUAAAAUUACUUUCACCGGGGACGAUAAUGACGGUACCCGGAGAAGAAGCCCCGGCUAACUUCGUGCCAGCCGCCGCCGU
rnacentral:rRNA from 1 species